GCAUAUCGCAGUCCAUGCUGUUAAGUACUUUAAUUAAUUUUAAUGUGCUGCUUGGACUACAUAUGGUUGAGGGUUGUUAGACUAUUAAAAUAGUUGAUUUUGUUACUAUGUAACUUAAUCACAUGGUAUAUUGAAGGAAUUAUAUAAAUUUUUAUAUAAUCCGCAAUAUUAAUAAAAUUUUAAAAGUCUCCUAAUAAAUACUUAGUAUUCAUGUGAUACAUAUUACAUACAUACAUAUAUAUAUAUAUAUUUAUAUAUAUAAAUAAAUAUUGGGGAACAAAAAGGUAUAAGGAUUAAAAAUAUUGUCUGUGGAGUAGAUUUUAUUAAUCUUACCUUAAAAUGUAAUAUAUGUACACAAAAUAUUGAAAAAGAAGAAAAGAUUUAUUUUGAGCAAAAAAAUUGUUUACACAACCUCAACUCAUAUGGGAUU
rnacentral:misc_RNA from 1 species